UGUGGGCAUUAGAAUGGUACUGACUGUAUACAGGUGGAAUGUGGGCAUUAGAAUGGUACUGUAUACAGGUGGAAUGUGGGGCAUUAGAAUGGUACUGUACUGUAUACAGGUGGAAUGUGGGGCAUUAGAAUGGUACUGUAUACAGGUGGAAUGUGGGCAUUAGAAUGGUACUGUACUGUAUACAGGUGGAAUGUGGGGCAUUAGAAUGGUACUGUACGUUACAGGUGGAAUGUGGGGCAUUAGAAUGGUACUGUAUACAGGUGGAAUGUGGGGCAUUAGAAUGGUACUGUAUACAGGUGGAAUGUGGGGCAUUAGAAUGGUA